rnacentral:rRNA from 1 species
CACGUAGGCGGCCUUGUAAGUCGGAUGUGAAAUCCUAUGGCUUAACCAUAGAAGUGCAUUCGAUACUACUUGGCUAGAGUGUGGAAGAGGAAGAUGGAAUUCCCGGUGUAAGAGUGAAAUCUGCAGAGAUCGGGAGGAACACCAGUUGCGAAGGCGAUCUUCUGGUCCACCACUGACGCUAAGUGUGCGAAAGCUAGGGGAGCGAACAGGAUUAGAUACCCUGGUAGUCC